UACAGAGGUCUCAAGCGUUUGUUCGGAUUCAUUGGGCGUAAAGGGUGCGUAGGCGGCGCGGUAAGUCGGAUGUGAAAUCUUGGAGCUUAACUCCGAAACUGCAUUCGAUACUGCCGUGCUUGAGGACUGGAGAGGAGACUGGAAUUUACGGUGUAGCGGUGAAAUGCGUAGAUAUCGUAAGGAAGACCAGUGGCGAAGGCGGGUCUCUGGACAGUUCCUGACGCUGAAGCACGAAGGCCAGGGGAGCAAACGGG
rnacentral:rRNA from 1 species